UGCUAUGGUAUAACUUAGUGGCAGACGGGUGAGUAAUGUAUAGGAAUCUACCUAGUAGUACGGAAUAAUUGUUGGAAACGACAACUAAUACCGUAUACGCCCUACGGGGGAAAAAUUUAUUGCUAUUAGAUGAGCCUAUAUUAGAUUAGCUAGUUGGUGGGGUAAUAGCCUACCAAGGUAAUGAUCUAUAGCUGAUCUGAGAGGAUGAUCAGCCACACUGGAACUGAGAUACGGUCCAGACUCCUACGGGAGGCAGCAGUGGGGAAUAUUGGACAAUGGGCGAAAGCCUGAUCCAGCCAUGCCGCAUGAGUGAAGAAGGCCUUUGGGUUGUAAAGCUCUUUUAGUGAGGAAGAUAAUGACGGUACUCACAGAAGAAGUCCUGGCUAACUCCGUGCCAGCAGCCGCGGUAAUACGGAGAGGGCUAGCGUUAUUCGGAAUUAUUGGGCGUAAAGGGCGCGUAGGCUGGUUAAUAAGUUAAAAGUGAAAUCCCGAGGCUUAACCUUGGAAUUGCUUUUAAAACUAUUAAUCUAGAGAUUGAAAGAGGAUAGGGGAAUUCCUGAUGUAGAGGUAAAAUUCGUAAAUAUUAGGAGGAACACCAGUGGCGAAGGCGUCUAUCUGGUUCAAAUCUGACGCUGAAGCGCGAAGGCGUGGGGAGCAAACAGGAUUAGAUACCCUGGUAGUCCACGCUGUAAACGAUGAAUGUUAAAUAUGGGGAGUUUACUUUCUGUAUUACAGCUAACGCGUUAAACAUUCCGCCUGGGGACUACGGUCGCAAGAUUAAAACUCAAAGGAAUUGACGGGGACCCGCACAAGCGGUGGAGCAUGUGGUUAAUUCGA
rnacentral:rRNA from 1 species